rnacentral:rRNA from 1 species
AACGAACGCUGGCGGCAGGCUUAACACAUGCAAGUCGAACGCCCCGCAAGGGGAGUGGCAGAUGGGUGAGUAACGCGUGGGAAUCUACCUAGUUCUACGGAACAACUGAGGGAAACUUCAGCUAAUACCGUAUACGCCCUACGGGGGAAAGAUUUAUCGGAAUUAGAUGAGCCCGCGUAAGAUUAGCUAGUUGGUGGGGUAAUGGCCUACCAAGGCGACGAUCUUUAGCUGGUCUGAGAGGAUGAUCAGCCACACUGGGACUGAGACACGGCCCAGACUCCUACGGGAGGCAGCAGUGGGGAAUAUUGGACAAUGGGCGCAAGCCUGAUCCAGCCAUGCCGCGUGAGUGAUGAAGGCCUUAGGGUUGUAAAGCUCUCUCAGUGGGGAAGAUAAUGACGGUACCCACAGAAGAAGCCCCGGCUAACUUCGUGCCAGCAGCCGCCGUAAUAC